CAACUGUUUCCUGAAUCUUAACCUAUUAACCUACCUACCAAACAUUUCACGCAACGAACGAACAAACAUUCACCUCCUAGGGGCUGGUGGGUUCGGAUUCCUCUGAUUUCGAUGGAUUAUGUUGCGUUCGUCCCAAAUCGGACAGGUACAUGUUGCUUUCUUAUUCUUCCAUUCAGCUCCACAUGUGUAGCAAAACUCGUAUCCGCAUCUGUAAUUCGCAAGAAAAACAAUUGACUCAAUAAUAGUAACAAAGUGACCAAACAUAGUCUCUCUUUUCAUUUUUUAUCCAUGACAUGGAAUUUUCAGUUGUUUCUGUUGUGUGGUUCUAACAAAGGAUUAAGCUACAACUCCUUAGUGUACCGAACUACCUAUACGAUUUUGACUCUACAAUUGAUCGUUUUAAAGAAUACUCAAUAGUGUUCCAAAAAAAAAAAGUAUACUGAAUAAAUAAAGAACGAAGUACCUGCAGGUUAUAUGGUAGCAGCCAAAAAGAAGCUCAACCGUAACGUUACACUUAGUGCAUUGUCGCCACUUCUUGCUAUGUGCCAGAGACUUUAGCAAUCCAUCCCCAGCAUUCAGAUAAGCCUUUGAUUUACAGAAGUC
rnacentral:lncRNA from 1 species